AAGUCGUAACAAGGUCUCCGUUGGUGAACCAGCGGAGGGAUCAUUACCGAGUUUACAACUCCCAAACCCAUGUGAACAUACCUGUCUUGUUGCUUCGGCGGCGCCCCUCGGGGCCCGCCAGAGGACCCAAACAAAACUCUUUGCAUUUUGAAUACAGUAUUCUGAGUGACAUGAUUAAAUAAAAUCAAAACUUUCAACAACGGAUCUCUUGGCUCUG
rnacentral:misc_RNA from 1 species